rnacentral:tRNA from 1 species
GCGGCUAUGGUUCAGUGGUAGAACACGUCCUUGCCAAGGACGAAAUGGGGGUUCGAUUCCCCCUAGCCGCUCAA